rnacentral:rRNA from 1 species
ACGAACGCUGGCGGCGUGCUUAACACAUGCAAGUCGAACGGUGAAGCUCCAGCUUGCUGGAGUGGAUCAGUGGCGAACGGGUGAGUAACACGUGAGCAACCUGCCCCUGACUCUGGAAUAAGCGCUGGAAACGGCGUCUAAUACUGGAUACGAGAAGGGUCCGCAUGGGCACUUUCUGGAAAGUUUUUCGGUUGGGGAUGGGCUCGCGGCCUAUCAGCUUGUUGGUGAGGUAAUGGCUCACCAAGGCGACGACGGGUAGCCGGCCUGAGAGGGCGACCGGCCACACUGGGACUGAGACACGGCCCAGACUCCUACGGGAGGCAGCAGUGGGGAAUAUUGCACAAUGGGCGAAAGCCUGAUGCAGCGACGCCGCGUGAGGGAUGACGGCCUUCGGGUUGUAAACCUCUUUCAGCAGGGAAGAAGCGAAAGUGACGGCACCUGCAGAAGAAGCACCGGCUAACUACGUG